GACGAACGCUGGCGGCGUGCUUAGCACAUGCAAGUCGAACGAAAAGAGGGAAAGAGCUUGCUCUUUCCGGAAUUGAGUGGCAAACGGGUGAGUAACACGUAAACAACCUGCCUUCAGGAUGGGGACAACAGACGGAAACGACUGCUAAUACCGAAUAAGUUCCAAGAGCCGCAUGGCCCAUGGAAGAAAAGGUGGCCUCUACCUGUAAGCUAUCGCCUGAAGAGGGGUUUGCGUCUGAUUAGCUGGUUGGAGGGGUAACGGCCCACCAAGGCGACGAUCAGUAGCCGGUCUGAGAGGAUGAACGGCCACACUGGAACUGAGACACGGUCCAGACUCCUACGGGAGGCAGCAGUGGGGAAUCUUCCGCAAUGGGCGAAAGCCUGACGGAGCAACGCCGCGUGAGUGAUGACGGCCUUCGGGUUGUAAAACUCUGUGAUCCGGGACGAAAAGGCAGAGUGCGAAGAACAAACUGCAUUGACGGUACCGGAAAAGCAAGCCACGGCUAACUACGUG
rnacentral:rRNA from 1 species